rnacentral:rRNA from 1 species
CCUACGGGGGGCUGCAGUCGAGAAUCUUCGGCAAUGGGCGCAAGCCUGACCGAGCGACGCCGCGUGCGGGAUGAAGGCCCUUGGGUUGUAAACCGCUGUCAGGGGGGAUCAAGGCGCAAGCUUGAGAGAGCCCCAGAGGAAGCACGGGCUAAGUUCGUGCCAGCAGCCGCGGUAAUACGAACUGUGCGAACGUUAUUCGGAAUCACUGGGCUUACAGGGUGCGUAGGCGGCCGAUCAAGUCAGGUGUGAAAUCCCACGGCUCAACCGUGGAACUGCGCUUGAAACUGUUCGGCUUGAGUCAACUAGAGGUUGGCGGAACUUCCGGUGGAGCGGUGAAAUGUGUUGAUAUCGGAAGGAACACCAGAGGCGAAAGCGGCCGACUGGAGUUGUUCUGACGCUGAGGCACGAAAGCCAGGGUAGCGAACGGGAUUAGAUACCCC